rnacentral:rRNA from 1 species
UAGGGAAUCUUCCGCAAUGGACGAAAGUCUGACGGAGCAACGCCGCGUGAGCGAAGAAGGCCUUCGGGUCGUAAAGCUCUGUUGUUAGGGAAGAACAAGUAUCGGAGUAACUGCCGGUACCUUGACGGUACCUAACCAGAAAGCCACGGCUAACUACGUGCCAGCAGCCGCGGUAAUACGUAGGUGGCAAGCGUUGUCCGGAAUUAUUGGGCGUAAAGCGCGCGCAGGCGGUCCUUUAAGUCUGAUGUGAAAGCCCACGGCUCAACCGUGGAGGGUCAUUGGAAACUGGGGGACUUGAGUGCAGAAGAGGAGAGUGGAAUUCCACGUGUAGCGGUGAAAUGCGUAGAGAUGUGGAGGAACACCAGUGGCGAAGGCGACUCUCUGGUCUGUAACUGACGCUGAGGCGCGAAAGCGUGGGGAGCAAACAGGAUUAGAUACCCUGGUAGUCCACGCCGUAAACGAUGAGUGCUAAGUGUUAGAGGGUUUCCGCCCUUUAGUGCUGCAG